GACGUAGGAGGCGAGCGUUGUCCGGAAUUAUUGGGCGUAAAGAGCUCGUAGGCGGUUUGUUGCGUCGGCUGUGAAAUCCCGAGGCUCAACCUCGGGUCUGCAGUCGAUACGAGCAAACUAGAGUGUUGCAGGGGAGACUGGAAUUCCUGGUGUAGCGGUGAAAUGCGCAGAUAUCAGGAGGAACACCAAUGGCGAAGGCAGCUCGCUGGGACGUGACUGACGCUGAGACGCGAAAGCGUGGGGAGCAAACAGG
rnacentral:rRNA from 1 species